UGGGGAAUUUUGGACAAUGGGGGAAACCCUGAUCCAGCCAUCCCGCGUGUGCGAUGAAGGCCUUCGGGUUGUAAAGCACUUUUGGCAGGAAAGAAACGUCAUGGGUUAAUACCCCGUGAAACUGACGGUACCUGCAGAAUAAGCACCGGCUAACUACGUGCCAGCAGCCGCGGUAAUACGUAGGGUGCAAGCGUUAAUCGGAAUUACUGGGCGUAAAGCGUGCGCAGGCGGUUCGGAAAGAAAGAUGUGAAAUCCCAGAGCUCAACUUUGGAACUGCAUUUUCAACUACCGGGCUAGAGUGUGUCAGAGGGAGGUGGAAUUCCGCGUGUAGCAGUGAAAUGCGUAGAUAUGCGGAGGAACACCGAUGGCGAAGGCAGCCUCCUGGGAUAACACUGACGCUCAUGCACGAAGGCGUGGGGAGCAAACAGG
rnacentral:rRNA from 1 species